GUUCAAUCUGAUGAACUUUCUUACUGUCGCCAACACGAAUUAUCUCUGCAAAAAUAAAAACUCAGAAUAUGCAUCAAUCAUAAUACGUAUUACUUACUCUAAAGAUACAGGGAAUAUCUUUUCGAUUUGCAUGGAUGACAUCAGAAGCCAAGACAGAACUCACUGAGAAUUCUUCAUCUCUUUUAAAAAGACACAAAAAAUGUUCAUUAGCAAGUAGAAGUUUGGUGUUUGUUUUCUAUUAAGUUUUGAG